rnacentral:rRNA from 1 species
AAACCAGCACCUCAAGUGGUCAGGAUGAUUAUUGGGCCUAAAGCAUCCGUAGCCUGUUCUGUAAGUUUCCGGUUAAAUCCAUUAGCUCAACUAAUGGGCUGCCGAAAAUACUGCAGAACUAGGGAGUGGGAGAGGUAGACGGUACUCGGUAGGAAGGGGUAAAAUCCUUUGAUCUAUUGAUGACCACCUGUGGCGAAGGCGGUCUACCAGAACACGUUCGACGGUGAGGGAUGAAAGCUGGGGGAGCAAACCGGAUUAGAAACCCCAGUAGUCC